UUUUAAAACAUUCUUGCUCUGUUUGUUUUUUAUUUAUAAUUACAUGUACCUGGGCAUUGUGGAUUUUUUUUCCUCCUCGUAACAACUAUGCUAAAUUAUUUCCACUGGGGCUCAGUGAAACCAAGGGACUAACAGCCAGUAGUAUGGGUAGGAGUGUUAGACACCCUGAAAUCCUGCCAUUAUUAUAGCUUCCUUGGUGGUCUCUUUUUCUUCUUUUUGACAUUGGUUAUAUUUGUUUUCUCAUGUCAGCCAUUGGGGCCCCCAUGGAUUCAUGCAGGGAUGGGCCCAGAAGCAGCAAGCAGAUUUAGUUUUAAGGAAAAGAAUUAGUGCCAUGGGCGUACCAUGACCCUAUGCCAAUCCCUGCCUUCAGUGUACUUUUAGCAAAGAUCUGUGCGUACUUCUUCAGGUUGCUAGUGGAAAGCACAAGAAUGCAUCUGGAAGUAGUAAGAUUGAGAAGCAGAGGGUCUGGGGGGUGUUUCUGUGUGAGGGGGGAAGUGACGCUGGAGGGGCCCUGUGAGGUGAAAACAGUGCUCUAAGCGGAGGCACGCCUUUCCUGGGAUCUGGCCCUUUUACCCACCCACCUCGCUUAAGCCCUCUGAUCCCCGAUUUCUUCAGUUACCACAUAAAAUAACUAUAGCUUAUAAAGUUGCACAGAGAUUACCCCCUAUUCUGUGUACUUACACACUGACACACUCAGUUACCUUUUGUUGGACGGGAGGGAGGGAGAGAGAGAGGAAAAAGGGAAAGGAGGGUGGGAAGGAAGAAAGGUAGGCCAAGAUUGUCUUUGACAGUUCAUUUCAGUGCUUCUGUGAUUUUGAGCAUUUGACAUCCUUUCCCUCUCCCCUCAUUUCCCCUUCUUAAACCCUUACCUCGGGACUGUAGUACUUUUUAAAUAGAACAUUUGUGGUGGUUGCAUGAGGUAAGCUUGUGGGCAGGGUAUUAGCAAAUCUCUGCACUUCUGAACGAUCACCUCUGUGUAUGGCAUUUGAGUUCGAUGUGCAAUUCGAGGCCGGGCUGACCCCACAAGCUUGGUGAUCUCAUCACAGACCUUUUCUGGAUAAAACGCAGAGUGAUUUGAGUCUGGCAUGGGAGGGGAUAUUGGAACCAUCUUCUCACGUUUCUUUCCUUGUGAAAAUCAAACACAGGUGCUCUCCGAGUUCUGCCUGACUCAUCUUUUCUCUGCACUGCUUCCACUCGAGGGCUCUAUUCCCGAGGUUCCUCUGGGGACCGGCCUGGAGUGACACCUGCAGACCAUCUUAGGAAGCUUAGGAAGUGAAAUCUAAUUUCUUACGUCAAAAAGAAACUAAAGUGUACCUAAGAAGAUGUGAAGUUGAAGAGGGAAGAUACGGUUACCGCAAUCCUAGGACCUCCAAAGAGCUUCACAUUUUCAUCAAUCAAGGUUAAGUCUCAGGAAUUGAGUGCCUUGUUCAUCAAACCAUUUUCCAAGCAACACUGACACAAUGCCAUUAACAACAGAAGCAUCCAUUACUGUUUUGCCUAUAAGGGAAUUCGUUAAUCAGAGUAGGAAAACACAUACACAGUAUUAAACCAGUUCUGGGCUGAUUGUGACAAACUGUCAAGAAAAGAUUUUAUAGAGGAACAAAAUUAUUGGUGAUCAUGCCUUCUAAGAAGAAGUGACACUUGAGUGGACCUUUACAAAUUUCCAGAAUUUGAUUAAAAUAUUGACACAAGCCAGAGACAAAAAGUGUCCCAAAUUUCUAGAAGGAAUAAAAGAAGGUAGAUCCUGGAAACUGAAGAUCAGGGAUCUUGAAUGAACUGUUGUUACUCAAUGCUGAUUUUAAGAGAUGUUAGUGGGAAUUCCAAGAAAAAAAUGUUCCAAGGACUAGUAAGUGUGAAAACUGAAUUAAAUAAAAUUAAACAGG